GGGCGGGUGGCGGAACGGCAGACGCGCACGGUUCAGGUCCGUGUGUCCGAAAGGACGUGAGGGUUCAAAUCCCUCCUCGCCCA
rfam:Streptosporangium subroseum strain CGMCC 4.2132 genome assembly, contig: Ga0079903_1085